rnacentral:rRNA from 1 species
AACGAACGCUGGCGGCAUGCCUAACACAUGCAAGUCGAACGAGACCUUCGGGUCUAGUGGCGCUCGGGUGCGUAACGCGUGGGAACCUGCCCUUAGGUUCGGAAUAACUCCCCGAAAGGGGUGCUAAUACCGGAUAAUGUCUUCGGACCAAAGAUUUAUCGCCUUUGGAUGGGCCCGCGUUGGAUUAGCUAGUUGGUAGGGUAAAAGCCUACCAAGGCGACGAUCCAUAGCUGGUCUGAGAGGAUGAUCAGCCACACUGGGACUGAGACACGGCCCAGACUCCUACGGGAGGCAGCAGUGGGGAAUAUUGGACAAUGGGCGAAAGCCUGAUCCAGCAAUGCCGCGUGAGUGAUGAAGGCCUUAGGGUUGUAAAGCUCUUUUACCCGGGAUGAUAAUGACAGUACCGGGAGAAUGAGCUCCGGCUAACUCCGU